AGAGAUGUAACUCAGUGGUAGAGUACUUCCCUAGCACGGCAGUGUCCUGGGUUCAAUCCCCAGCACUGCAA
rnacentral:tRNA from 1 species